AUCUAAGUGUCACAGUCGAUAGAGUGCUAGACUUAGAGUCAAAAAGACAUCCUCUUAAGUUCAAAUCUUACCUUAGAUA
rnacentral:tRNA from 1 species